AACGAACGCUGGCGGCAGGCUUAACACAUGCAAGUCGAACGAGAUCUUCGGAUCUAGUGGCAGACGGGUGAGGAACACGUGGGAACAUCCCUUUCAGUUCGGAAUAACGUUGGGAAACUAACGCUAAUACCGGAUACGUCCUCCGGGAGAAAGAUUUAUCGCUGAAAGAUUGGCCCGCGUCUGAUUAGCUAGUUGGUGAGGUAACGGCUCACCAAGGCUACGAUCAGUAGCUGAUCUGAGAGGAUGAUCAGCCACAUUGGGACUGAGACACGGCCCAAACUCCUACGGGAGGCAGCAGUGGGGAAUAUUGGACAAUGGGCGCAAGCCUGACCCAGCCAUGCCGCGUGAGUGAUGACGGCCUUCGGGUUGUAAAGCUCUUUUGUCCGGGAAGAUAAUGACUGUACCGGAAGAAUAAGCCCCGGCAAACUUCGUGCCAGCCGCCGCCGUAA
rnacentral:rRNA from 1 species